rfam:Loxodonta africana unplaced genomic scaffold scaffold_47, whole genome shotgun sequence.
GCAGUGGUGGCUCAGUGGUAGAGUUCUCACCUUCUGUGCAGGAGACCCAGGUUCGAUGCCUGGCCAAUGCG